rnacentral:tRNA from 1 species
UCCUCCGUGGCUCAGUGGGUUAAGGACCCAGCAUUUUCACUGCUGUGGCAUGGGUUCAAUCCCUGGCGUAGGAA